rnacentral:rRNA from 1 species
UUCGGCUCAACCGAAGAAGUGCAUUGGAAACUGGGAGACUUGAGUGCAGAAGAGGACAGUGGAACUCCAUGUGUAGCGGUGAAAUGCGUAGAUAUAUGGAAGAACACCAGUGGCGAAGGCGGCUGUCUGGUCUGCAACUGACGCUGAGGCUCGAAAGCAUGGGUAGCGAACAGGAUUAGAUACCCUGGUAGUCCAUGCCGUAAACGAUGAUUACUAAGUGUUGGAGGGUUUCCGCCCUUCAGUGCUGCAGCUAACGCAUUAAGUAAUCCGCCUGGGGAGUACGACCGCAAGGUUGAAACUCAAAAGAAUUGACGGGGGCCCGCACAAGCGGUGGAGCAUGUGGUUUAAUUCGAAGCUACGCGAAGAACCUUACCAGGUCUUGACAUCUUCUGACAGUCUAAGAGAUUAGAGGUUCCCUUCGGGGACAGAAUGACAGGUGGUGCAUGGUUGUCGUCAGCUCGUGUCGUGAGAUGUUGGGUUAAGUCCCGCAACGAGCGCAACCCUUAUUACUAGUUGCCAGCAUUAAGUUGGGCACUCUAGUGAGACUGCCGGUGACAAACCGGAGGAAGGUGGGGACGACGUCAAAUCAUCAUGCCCCUUAUGACCUGGGCUACACACGUGCUACAAUGGAUGGUACAACGAGUCGCGAGACCGCGAGGUUAAGCUAAUCUCUUAAAACCAUUCUCAGUUCGGACUGUAGGCUGCAACUCGCCUACACGAAGUCGGAAUCGCUAGUAAUCGCGGAUCAGCAUGCCGCGGUGAAUACGUUCCCGGGCCUUGUACACACCGCCCGUCACACCAUGAGAGUUUGUAACACCCAAAGCCGGUGGGGUAACCUUUUAGGAGCUAGCCGUCUAAGGUGGGACAGAUGAUUAGGGGGUGAA